CCCUUAGAUGUUCUGGGCUGCACGCGUGCCACACUGAUAUUGCCAAUAUGUCAUUCUUAUCCGAAAUGGAUUGGGUAAUCAAGUAAUGAAAUUUCAUGCUUGGAAUCGGUAAUUGCAAUUUUAUCGUGAACGAGGAAUUCCUAGUAAGCACUAGUCAUCAGCUAAUGUUGAUUAUGUCCCUGCCCUUUGUACACACCGCCCGUCGCUACUACUGAUUGGGUGUUCAAGUGAGAUGCUUAGACCCUUGUUGCAUGGUUCAUUAUUGUGCUCCGAAGGGAAAAAGUUUCAAGCUUGAGUGUCUAGAGGAAGUAAAAGUCGUAACA
rnacentral:rRNA from 1 species